AACGAACGCUGGCGGCAGGCUUAACACAUGCAAGUCGAACGCCCCGCAAGGGGAGUGGCGCACGGGUGAGUAACGCGUGGGAACCUACCUAUCGGUACGGAAUAACACAGGGAAACUUGUGCUAAUACCGUAUGAGCUCUACGGAGGAAAGAUUUAUCGCCGAUAGAUGGGCCCGCGUCCGAUUAGCUAGUUGGUGAGGUAACGGCUCACCAAGGCUUCGAGCGGUAGCUGGUCUGAGAGGAUGAUCAGCCACACUGGGACUGAGACACGGCCCAGACUCCUACGGGAGGCAGCAGUGGGGAAUAUUGGACAAUGGGCGCAAGCCUGAUCCAGCCAUGCCGCGUGAGUGAUGAAGGCCUUGGGGUUGUAAAGCUCUUUCGUCGGGGAAGAUAAUGACGGUACCCGAAGAAGAAGCCUCGGCUAACUCCGUGCCAGCCGCCGCAGUAAGAC
rnacentral:rRNA from 1 species